GAUGAACGCUGGCGGCGUGCCUAAUACAUGCAAGUCGAGCGAACAGAUAAGGAGCUUGCUCCUUUGACGUUAGCGGCGGACGGGUGAGUAACACGUGGGUAACCUACCUAUAAGACUGGAAUAACUCCGGGAAACCGGGGCUAAUGCCGGAUAACAUUUAGAACCGCAUGGUUCUAAAGUGAAAGAUGGUUUUGCUAUCACUUAUAGUUGGACCCGCGCCGUAUUAGCUAGUUGGUAAGGUAACGGCUUACCAAGGCAACGAUACGUAGCCGACCUGAGAGGGUGAUCAGCCACACUGGAACUGAGACACGGUCCAGACUCCUACGGGAGUCAGCAGUAGGGAAUCUUCCGCAAUGGGCGAAAGCCUGACGGAGCAACGCCGCGUGAGUGAUGAAGGGUUUCGGCUCGUAAAACUCUGUUAUUAGGGAAGAACAAACGUGUAAGUAACUGUGCACGUCUUGACGGUACCUAAUCAGAAAGCCACGGCUAACUACGUGCCAGCCGCCGCCGUAACAC
rnacentral:rRNA from 1 species